CCUACGGGAGGCAGCAGUAGGGAAUAUUGCUCAAUGGGGGAAACCCUGAAGCAGCAACGCCGCGUGGAGGAUGAAGGUUUUAGGAUUGUAAACUCCUUUUGUGAGAGAAGAUAAUGACGGUAUCUCACGAAUAAGCACCGGCUAACUCCGUGCCAGCAGCCGCGGUAAUACGGAGGGUGCAAGCGUUACUCGGAAUCACUGGGCGUAAAGAGUGCGUAGGCGGGCUUGUAAGUCAGAUGUGAAAUCCUGUAGCUUAACUAUAGAACUGCAUUUGAAACUAUGAGUCUAGAGUGUGGGAGAGGUAGGUGGAAUUCUUGGUGUAGGGGUAAAAUGCGUAGAGAUCGAGAGGAACACUCAUUGCGAAGGCGGGUUCCUGGACCUUAACUGACGCUGAGGCACGAAGGCGCGGGGAGCGAAGGGGAUUAGAUACCCCGGUAGUC
rnacentral:rRNA from 1 species